rnacentral:rRNA from 1 species
UACGUAGGGUGCAAGCGUUGUCCGGAAUUAUUGGGCGUAAAGAGCUCGUAGGCGGUCUGUCGCGUCGGAUGUGAAAAUCCAGGGCUUAACCCUGGACCUGCAUUCGAUACGGGCAGACUAGAGUUCGGUAGGGGAGACUGGAAUUCCUGGUGUAGCGGUGAAAUGCGCAGAUAUCAGGAGGAACACCGGUGGCGAAGGCGGGUCUCUGGGCCGAUACUGACGCUGAGGAGCGAAAGCGUGGGGAGCGGACAGG